GGAAUGAAACUGAUUCUGAUUAGGAAUGUGAUAGUUCAGAACAUGAUGCGACAGGGAUUUGGUGUUUUUUCAGUACAUUAAGUCUGAUGAAGUUAGUAAUGUUUUCUGGAGAUGAAUGAAAUAUUGCAUAACCUGAACGCACAGACAGAAAGGUGACAUUUUAUUUUGCAUGGAGCGCUUGUAGUUUAUGGUGUAAAUAACACUAUCAGAAAAUAAACUUGAACUUGACCUUUAACCUUACCAUGGUGUGAGCCUGUGGUCCUCUGGUUUCUAAUUCAGAUGAGACCGUCUGCCUUGUGGGCGCCACUCAGCCAACCAUGUCUGCAGGUGAAAAGAAAACCACAUAAGAGGAAGCUGCAGAAUGAAACCAAGACUGAGGAUCACGGACGUUCAUUUCUCUGGUCAUUCUGACACCCAAACAACACAGGAUGUGAAACAUUCAGGAGGUGAGAUAAAGACAUGCAGAACUUUUUUAGGUGCUCGCAUAGAAGAAAAAAGUGAGAGUUCUGCAAGAGUCCAUGUUUGGAAAGCAUCAGUGUGGACUAGAUUUACCUGGGGGCAGCUUUGGGGCAGCAGAGCAGUCGUCUGUGAACCCCAGGGUGAGUGGUUCGAUUCCUGGUUCAUCCUGGCUGCUUGCUGAGGUGCCCUUGAACAAGAAAAACCCUGUAGUAGUGCCGAGGUAGAGUCUAGCAGCUGUCCAACUGCAAUUUCCCCAAGGGAACUAAUAAAGUAUUCAUUAUUAUUAACUGUAUAUGAGUAUUCAAGCUCUCUCGCAGAUUAAACAGGUGUAUAAUGGUGUCAGCAAUGACAGGACUUGGAGGAACUAGAGACAUGACAUGAGGUUUAAGAACCAAUGAGUUUACAAAUAGAACCAACAUUGGUAAAUUAUCUUCCUUGAUGCUCUGAGGAAGUGGAACAGAAAGUCCCUCCACUUCUGGAGCAAAUGUUUUUGUCCCAGAUGUCUGAAGGUCAAAUACAAAUAUUAGCGAGUGGACCAGGUGUACUGGUACUGUCCAGGUCUGUGGGCUCUGUCAGUUUCCAGGCAGCGUGGAGCGAGGAGUUUUGUAGUAAAUACACUCUCGGGGAUCAGGAGGCGGAAGGAACUGGAUCUCCUCGUACUGUAACACACAGCAAGAGUUCAGAGUAUGUGUAACAUAGUUAAAUGUAUGCAUGUUAAAUCCACCUAAAGGGGCACCUGCAGUAGUAAAAGCUAGGGAUUAUGGGUAAUCUUCAGAAGCGCAGAGGAUUUCCCGAGAGGUAACGUAGCUGUGAAUGUGUCCGAGGGCAAAGUGUGUAAACUUUAUUAAAAGUACAUAAAAGUUUUACCAGCACUAUGAGGCUGAUAGUAGCGGCUUGUUAAUUGUUUUUGCUGUGAUUUUGUUCGGUUUAUGAACCAUUUUGUGUGUUUUAGCUCAAAAUGUCGAGGCUUUAGCCUAAGCUAGUUAGCUAAAUAUAAUGGUGCUAUCUCUCCAGACAGAGCACAUGAGCAGAUUGCCCACAACACAUGAUCCAUUCUGCCUCUUUAUCCCUUGUGAAACUACAGGUAUGUCUUUGUAUAUUGCUUGAUAACGUUUAUAUUGUAAAAAUGUGUUUAAGAUUCUAUUUGUCAUCUUGUUGAGUUACAUGUUCUAAGUGAAGCUGUAACUUGUUGAAGUUUUUCAUAUUGUAAAUGAAAAUAUGAGAAAGGUAACAGUCCAGUGUAAGCUACACUGUAGGUAUGUUUUUAUAUUUGUAUGAAUUUAUUUUUACUGCGCAUAUGAGCAGAUUGCCCACAACACAUGAUCCAUUCUGCCCUUCUAUCCCUUGUGAAACUACAGGUUGCUGAAUAAACCUGCUGUUACCAAAAACCAGAGCAGCUCCGAGUGGUUAUUCAAAAAGAAAAGGACAGAGACAGACAGAAGACAUGACACCAUAGGUCACAUAUGGACUCAGUAUUGUACUAGAUCCUGUUCCGACAUAGUAGUAGUGGUACUACUCCUUCAGGCCGACAUCCCAGAGACUGUUCUCAAGCAUCUUAAACUAAGUUCAAGGUGAUGUUCUGAAACAUGGACAGCAUCAGCCAACUAAUCAACUAAUAAGAUCAGAAACCAUCUCUGGUUUAGAUCACAAGAGAAGAUGAGGUCCACACUGUAUUACUGACAUGUUAACUGGUCCACGGUCUAUUUCUGACACACUAAGUCAUUAUAACCAAACUCUGUAGCUGUUUAUCUGAAACAGUACGGCUUUAAACUCGGCUUUGACAUUAAUUAGACUUUAAGAAGCUCUUU
rnacentral:lncRNA from 1 species